rnacentral:lncRNA from 1 species
GGACUACACAGAGAACAGGCAGCCUUGGUGACUUCAAACUUCUGCUCAUCCCGUUCAGGCUCAAAGUCACAGCAUGCUGGCUUUAGAGCAUCCUCAGUGUGACUCCUGCCUGUCCCGUUUUACUCAACUUGUUACUGUCACAAAGUCACUGAGGUAAUCCACUGACAAAGUGAAAAGGGAUGUUGUGACUCAGAGUUUUGGAGGGUCUAGCCUAGGGCAGACUCAGCUGCUCUGAGAAAGCUCUGAAAGAGGGACCCCUGCAGGCUCACAGGCAGCUCAGACACUGGUUAGGAGAUUGUCUCUAAGACCUUAGGCUGGAUGGGGUGCGAAGAGAUGAGUCCUGGGUAGGUGGCAUUUGGAUUUCUCUCAGCAGAGCCCCAGACUUGGUCCAACUUGGAUCUCAGCAUGGGCUGAGCAGUCCAGAGCUGGUUGAAGGACAGUGGCUAUAGCAGGUGUCCUCUCCCUGCAGUAGGGAUGGACACCUUGGCAAGUAGAAACUAACAUGCUGUUCUUUGUCCCCUAGAAUGGAAUGGGUGGAAGAACCUACCUGAGAAGUCCUGGGAUUUAGGUGCAGGGGCAGCUUCUAUUCAGAAGCAGCCCUCAGGCAUAGCUCAGCAUGUAGGUAGCCACAUAGACCAGAGCCUUGUUUCUCCAGAGGCCCAGUGAGACACAUGUUUUUGGCUAUCGGGAACAUCUGCUAAUUUGUGUUCUAGA